UAGGGAAUCUUCCACAAUGGACGCAAGUCUGAUGGAGCAACGCCGCGUGAGUGAAGAAGGUUUUCGGACCGUAAAGCUCUGUUGUUGGUGAAGAAGGAUAGAGGUAGUAACUGGCCUUUAUUUGACGGUAAUCAACCAGAAAGUCACGGCUAACUACGUGCCAGCAGCCGCGGUAAUACGUAGGUGGCAAGCGUUGUCCGGAUUUAUUGGGCGUAAAGCGAGCGCAGGCGGAAGAAUAAGUCUGAUGUGAAAGCCCUCGGCUUAACCGAGGAAUUGCAUCGGAAACUGUUUUCUUGAGUGCAGAAGAGGAGAGUAGAACUCCAUGUGUAGCGGUGGAAUGCGUAGAUAUAUGGAAGAAUACCAGUGGCGAAGGCGGCUCUCUGGUCUGCAACUGACGCUGAGGCUCGAAAGCAUGGGUAGCGAACAGGAUUAGAUACCCUGGUAGUCCAUGCCGUAAACGAUGAGUGCUAAGUGUUGGGAGGCUUCCGCCUCUCAGUGCUGCAGCUAACGCACUAAGCACUCCGCCUGGGGGAGUACGACCGCAAGGUUGAA
rnacentral:rRNA from 1 species